rnacentral:tRNA from 1 species
GUAAUUGUAGCUUAUUUUAAAGCACGGCACUGAAGAUGCCAUGAUGGGAACAAAAAUCAUCCCCAAAAACA